GCCUGCUGUAGCUCAUUGCCAACGACGGCUACAAGAUGGCCAGUUCUACUAUGCGACCAAGGCUUUCGAUGUCCUGGAAAGAUUGGACCACAAUCCUGAAUACUGGGAAGGCAAGCGAGGGGCGUGCGUGGGCGUAUUCCAGCAGAUCAUAGCUGGCCAUGAACCAAG
rnacentral:lncRNA from 1 species